CACCCCUCAAGCCUUGCUUGGUGUUGGAGCACUACCGUUUGUAUAAAGCGGUAGGCUCUGAAAUUCAGUGGCGGGCUCGCUAAGACUCUGAGCGUAGUAGUUUAUCACCUCGCUUUGGAAGGAUUAGCGGUGCUCUUGCCGUAAAACCCCCCAACUUCUGAAUU
rnacentral:misc_RNA from 1 species